GAUUCUUUAAUAUGGAACAAAAUCAGAGCUCAGCUCCAAGGCUCCGUCCACCCAACACACUUUGUAACACUGAUGGGUGGAGGAGAACGAGAAAAUCAACUAGUAAGAUCACAGUCCGCUCGGCCAAAAAACAGGAGAGGCUAAAAAAAAACAUGGAACGCAAAACCAAAGUGCUACUGGGCGUAACCUGGAGACGCCCUCGCUCCCUUCCCUCCUGACCCAGGAUGUGACCACAGGGACACGUCUCUCCGCUGCCUCCCAGGGCUCUCCCACCUCCUCCCCUACCUCACCCUUCUCAUCCUCCUCGGUGAAGUCAGUGGCUCCUCAAACCAGUCGGUGACCCACUGACCCGUCCGAGCCGGGCGAGGUUGGCGUGGAGGUGGGUUUGGAGGACCAGAGGGUUGUGUGUGAGGGUCUUAAAGCCAGGUGUGCUGCCAUUUGUGAGUCUGCAGUUCUCAGAGGGACGUGAACGAGGCGUCUUGGUUAUUAUCAUGGCUCCAGCGGAAACGUCUGCAGUUCAGCCCCUCUGCCGUUUUACUCCCAGACUACGUGAGAUCUAAUCAUCUUUAAAAUGCUGCUCGCUAGAGGUUCAGAUGGAAUGUUUGAAGUUUCUGAGGAAAUGAGAAAAGGACAGGAGGGAGAGGACGUCUGCGGAGGCCGCCCAGUAAGAACCCGUUACUAUACUAAUACAGGGACAUCAACAGAAGUACUACACAGAUAUGUACAGAGCAACCAAGCAACACAUUGGAAUACUGAGUAAUAAAUCUGGUGUGGGAAAGGGAAGGUAAUAGUCCACUACAAAUGCACAUACCCCACUACUUUUUCGUGUAGUCGGUCCAAUCUUUAAGGCUACUCUCUUGCGCUUGCUACAAACGCGGCAGCAGCGAAAGCCACCACAACAUAGAUUUGAGUCACACGUCUGUGCUUGACUUUUUGAAUAUGGCUGCUUUGUGAUUCUGUGUGCCGAGCUGACAGCUACCCUUCUCCUCAGAGUGAGCAUUAAGAGAAGGCAAACACCGUAAAGAAAACAAAUCAAACAUGACCCGGGAUGAGUUGCAUGCAUCCCCUCUUUUUUUUUUUUUUGUGCUAAAUCAUUCUCUGGUCCACAGAGCUCUGUAGAAGAAGAAAAAAAACAAAAAAACAAGGUGAUCCUCCGUAAUGCGGAGGGUGACGGAUGAGAGAUGCUAAUGGACGAAGAAUCACAGAUAGAUGAGGAAGCAUGGAUUACUGUGAAAUUAGACUCUGGUGGCGUACGCAUUACCAGCUGAAUGGGAGAGUAAAUGAACAAUCGAGCAGAGGAAGUGGAAAUCUAUACUUAGUGGAGGAUUAAAAUGAAGCGUUGUAAUGAGGAAACGGGGUGGACAUGAGGAGACACACAGACACAAAGAGACAGAGAGAGAGAGGGCAUCUGUCAGCUUCGGCAAACACAGUCAUCCUGCACCUUAACACACACUGCGUCACAUGACAAACUACAUCAGAGAGAGAGAGAGAGAGGGGGGAGGAGGGAGGCACUGCACAGAGAGCACUAGCACUACCAUGGACGGACACACACCUAACACACACACACACACACACACUACUGCACAGGGUCCCAGUCUGCGUUCCACUGCACUCUCCUGGCUGCCAGAACCUCGCUGUGUCUUGUCAAGAAAAAACAACAAACGAACCGAUUAACAAACAAACGGACGAAAAGAAGAAACAACGCACACUUUUGGUUCCCACUGGCUAUAAUAAAAAAAUAAACCAGAAACAGAACCUAGAAUAUAAAAAGAGCCAGUGGCACCGGGUUUUACAGAAAGCAUUUUCUCAAUAACUGGCUUUUGAACAGCUCUACGCUUUUUCUUUUAGUCUACCAAGUAUAUACUAUUAACCUUACCAGGCAGCUAAAAUCUAUACAGUACUGUCAUUUUUCAUAUAUUUAUAGAUAUUUAUACACUAUACAAAGUUGGCAAAAAUACAUAAAUAAAUACAUUAAAUUAGAUUGUACACAUCACAAUUGUGUGUUUUAAGUUAGAGCACUCUUUGUUGAAGAGGUGGGUCACGGCAAGUCGAGAAAGGAGGUGAAGAAACAGGAGUGUUACCCUCGACAUCCCGUCACAAGUCCCCAUCACACUUGGUAAGUAACAUUUCAGAGUAUGGCGUUAGAUCAGUUAAGUGUAUUGCUUAUUACCUACCUGAUUAAAAAUGUCCGCAUUAUGGCAGGAGUUAGAGGCUGCUCUAACCACAUCACGAAGUCUAUUUACAACCAGCGGGAGGCAAAGGAAAAGCACACCGAAGGAUCUUGGAUUUAGGGAAACUGGUCAGAAUUUAUUUUUAGCGAGUUUGUGGACUUUCUGACUCCCCGUGGGACUCCGUCUAAAGGAUGGCAUUACAAGUGAAGGCAGGACUGUAUCCGCUGUCCUUCCUGCUGAUGGCUGCUGGGAGUAUCUGCUGUACCGUAUCAUGUCUGUGGCAGAGACGCUCCUAAAAGUAAUGUGAAACUGAUAAGCUCCAUCCCUGCACUGUACACAGGCCCAGGCAGACACAUAAGGCUAUGGCAUAUGGAAAAUGUGGAAGUGGGCGUACCGACACCUGCAGUGAUAUAACUGGACUACAGCCAUGUGCCUUUGCUAUUUUUUGGAUGAAGCAGUAGGCUGAGUAAAUGACACAUUUUAGACAUCUGGAAAGAUCUCUUAUCUAACUUUUUUGAAUGAUUAAAACCAAUUCUUCUUUUCACUAUUCCUGGGCUUUUCUUAUUUGAGUUUGAGAGUUCUUACAAAUAUCUGACAAAGCAAGAGAUAAGCCUAUUAUUUGGCAAGUUCAUGUCAGUCAGUUGUGCUUAAUCAAAAUAAAUAAGAGGCUGAAUCACAAGCAUGCAAACUGUCUUCACAGGGUCAGAUGGAUGGUUAAUGUCCUUCUACUUGGAAUCCACUCUGUCCUCUAUACAUGCCCAUCCCCAUGUAUGGCCUCCAGCAGAGCAAUAAUGACUCCAAAUUCAAUGAGGAAGGCAUCAUCAGUGUCAGUACAGGGCCAAUCCCGUCUAACACAAUGGCAUUACAGUAAAUCCCCAAGCCUAUAAGCAGACAGGGCGAGAUGUGAUGCCAAGCGACCGGGGCAGAGUGACUCCACAGGGAGCUGAACGGUCCUGUCGCACAGCCGGGGAGCGCUCUGUUCCUGACGCUUGUAACAAAAACACAACAAUGUUUUGUGGCAUGAAAAACACAAGCUACAAUUUGUGCCACACAUCGCACAGUCAAUUUCCUGGAGGUGUGUGUGGGGCAGGCGGGGAAAGGUAUGUGGCAGUGCUGCUACAGUGGGCCUGGGAUGUGUUGGGUAUCACUCCUUCCCUUGGUUCCUCUUGCCCUGACCUCACGACGCCUCCAACAAAAAUACAGCGGACAUCAAAAGCCCUUAUUCAAGAAGGGCAGGUAUAAUCAGCUUCGGCAUCAUCAACAUCACCACUGUUAUUCAUGAAUAUCAUUGUUUUCUUCAUCAUUUCAAGUGACAAAUGAAAACUCAGCGUACAACAAAUGUUAAUUUUUCACCAACAAUAUUUACAUAAAGUUUUUCAAAAACAGAAGGAUUUUCUUCUCACGGUUUUGUAAAGAAAGCAACCCAACACAAGAACACCAAGCACACACAUACAUACACACUGACCAACAGUCAAAUGUGAACCGAAAGGAAAAAAAAAAAAAGAUAUUAUUACUCAUUGUUUUUCAUAUUCACUUUCGUUACUAUUCAAAUAAUGCUUACUCGAACCCUGAUUGGGAGAAGUCACACUGGCUUUCACCAGAUGCUUAAAACAAUUGAAAGGGUGAGUUGGGGGAGGCGAGGUCUGUCUGCACAGGGCGAGACGCACACAGAUACUGACUGGACAAAUGACAAAGGUGACCCAGGAGGCUUCUGGGCUUACUCAGCCAUCAUAACAUGAUUCAGCAGAAUAAAACAUCAGCUGCACUCCCUCUAGGAUGAGAUUACUACAGCCUGAUUUUUAUCCACACACACACACACACACACACACACACACACACACACACACACACCUAAAGUUCUCCAAGACAUAAAACACCUUAAUCUAAUAUUGCAAAAAAACUACAGCAAAGCAGGCACCUUUCCAAUAGAGUGACUCAUUGACACUCAUCUUAAGAAAGCAAUAUCCAUCAAGGCAAACUAGUACUGAGGAAUAAGAAAAGGAGGAAGAGAGCAUGACAAGGACAAACAACAUCAGCAGGCUCAGAAGAAUAUCUUGCUAAUCCCUUGGCAAACAGGUGUGACCCUUCAGCCAAUAAAGCUUUAAGUUAUUUAGAAAGUACACAGAGAAGGGAAGGCUGCUGGUGACAAUGAUAAAUUUGGGGGCGCACACCCAGGAAUAAACGUCUCAGAGAAGAUGGAAGUCCAGCAGUGAAUCGUUUACUUCACUAAACCGAGCUGAUGACAAGAAUACCGCCAUUCUAGCAGCUCUGUGAGGAUCUAUGCAGGCACAGCAGGGUUUGGAGGUAAAUACGAACAUCACCAUGCUAACAUACUCACAGCGACAAUGCGCACAUGCUGACGUUUAGCAGGCACACCGACGUUUACCAUGGCUAUAUAAAAGUUAACAUUUAUCUGACUGUCUAAAUUUGUGUGUAGACAUAUAUCCACUGCACAGAGUAAAGAAAAGAGUGGAAAUUGCAACUUUGCAUUUUAAAGCCGUUUCCAGGUCCGAACGCUACUUCAAUAAGACAAAAAUUAUACUUGAGUGACCAGUAAUGUCUGGAACAAUGUAGCUGUUGGGAUAUUUUAGUCUGUAACAAAGUGGCAGGCCAAAUGACAAGACAUUGCCAUUAGGUUGACCAUAAACACAUGUUUGCACUUAAAGCUGCGGUAGACAGGAAUGUAAGAAAGACCAACAAACAGGCAAACAAACAAAACGUCAGAAUUUCAACCACACAAGCACAUAUUGCAAACAUGCAAAGAUAGUAAAGCUAAGUGUCAGCAUUCAUGUGUGACUUUAACCAGGAUUCAGACUCAGACUGUUGUGUGUAAAAAGCACUGGGAUUGGCUAAAAUCCGUCAUCACAGGCUAGAUUUCCUAAAGCCUUCAGAGCCAAGAGGAGGUGCAGAAGUCUGGUUUCCUAUUAGACCACUUGAAAAUUCCAUAGGCUUCUGGUACAACUUUUGCCCAGUGAUGGCAAAAGACCCUGCCUACCCUAGUUGCAGAUACAGAUGUUACAGAACUUUGCCAGCUGAGUGCUGAAUAAUAUACAUGGAAGGAAAGUAAGGAAGGAAAGUUUUAGUCUGUGGCAAAGUUGCAGGAGGUUUUGGCUGUGUGUGACAUCUAGAAUUAAACUUCUGAAAUCAAACUCUAAUUAUGCACACCUGCAUCUACCAGUUGGCUCCACCAGGGAAUGAUUGCAAAGACGAAAGCCAGAUCUGAGGCCGAACACAAGGAGAGCAAGCACACAGAGUGGAUGAGCUCAGGAUUGUUGAAGGUCAGUGCUGACAGUCUUGGUGCCAACAAAACGCAAUAAGUUUAGAGGUGUGAGACAGGUGGCAGUAUAAUAAAACUGGGAUUUGGAAAUUGCUUCCUCCUUUAUACUGUUUGGCUCUGAGCUUACCAUCCAUUUUAAUAGUGCGGCUGUUUGACUGCUGGCAAUGAGAACAUAAUGUUUGGGACUCCUGGAUAUUUUAUGGACUGUGCAACUUCUGGAUGAUAUAUAUACCACUGUGAGACACGAUUUUCUAAAUUAAAGAAGUUAUGAACAUACAGACAUUAUUACAAUCACAAGUGAACAUUUUUCUUUUCUUGUCAUUUCAUUCAUCAAGUUAGCUUUACGGGCUAUUCAUCACUUUGAGCAUAAUGGCUUAUUUGAAACUGAGUAAAUUAAGAUAUAUUGUUGAAUUAAUCAUUGCUUAUUUAGGGCUCAUAAGUAGCCAAUUCUUGGCUUAAAUCUAACCCUAAUAUAUUUAAUAUUGUUUCAGCAUCUUUGUAUGUCAUGGGUUUUCACUAACUUUAUGACAAUUACUUAUAAACAUGAUUUGAAACUAAUGACAUUCUCCUGAAGUAUUUAUGGUUGGGUUCUCACAAUUUAAAAGGCAGCUGAAACUCCCUACAACUGUACAUUUCAAGUUUGUUGGCGAAUUUCAAUAUGUUUCGAAUAUAUACUUAUACAUAUACAUAUACGUAUACGUACAUAUAUAUAUAUACAUAUAUAUAUAUAUAUAUAUAUAUAUAUAUAUAUAUAUAUAUAUAUAUAUAUAUAUAUAU
ensembl:lncRNA